UCAGUCGUGGCGACCCGCUGAACUUAAGCAUAUCACUAAGCGGAGGAAAAGAAACUAACCAGGAUUCCCUAGUAACGGCGAGUGAAGAGGGAAUAGCCCAGCACCGAAGCCUGCGGUAGUUUUACUGCUAGGCAAUGUGGUGUUUGGGUCGGCUCGCGGGAUUGCCACUCCACUCGAAGUCCAGCACUGAGUAUGGUUCCCUGGAUUUGGCCCAGAGAGGGUGAAAGGCCCGUGCGAGUGGAGGUUCAGACAUGUGAGGCAAUUCACCAGGCCGACCUUCGAGUCGGGUUGUUUGGGAAUGCAGCCCAAAGC
rnacentral:rRNA from 1 species